CGGGGGCUGGGAGGCUGCGGGGGGCGGGCAGAGCACUGCGAAGUCCUUGCCGGCUCCAGGACCCGCCGGGUCCUCUAACGAAGUCCCGGCUUCAUGGCCGGCACAGAGAGGUAGCGUUGAGGUGUGGAGUCUUGAAGACGCUGCCCAGACUGAUGCCACCUCUGUGUCCCCAGGAUGCGUGGCGACAGCAGGAGAGGCCCCUCCCUGACCCCCAACCGCCCCCAACGCAGAAGCUCAAGGAGGCUGCGGCCUACUUGGUGAGAGGCCCAGAGGCUGCUGCAGUACCCCUCUUUCUGUUUUACUGCCUAGGCCCCCAGAGAGGAGAGCAAGGUCGCAGCCAUGGACUUAGAAAUCAACCACUGCAAUAUAAAGGAAUGAAUUAAUGGUAUUUGCAGCAACCUAGAUGAGAUUGCAG
rnacentral:lncRNA from 1 species